rnacentral:lncRNA from 1 species
CCCCAGCUUGAAAUUUCUUUUUAACAUAAGUUAAAAAUAAUCUCACAAAAAAAUGCAAAUUAAAGAAGGCGAAACGCCUGGUUUUCUCUCGCUGUUUUGUAUACCAUGUCUAAAUUCAGGAAUUAGUAUAAAUUUAACAAUUUCUAAUUCCAAAAAUCAUAAUAUUGAAGAAAAACAUUUAAACUCCUCCUCUCUCUUUUCUUUAUAGGAGAGAAAGAAAGAUAAACAGAGACAGUAAUGUACCUCAA